CUAGCAAGUAUUACCCAACAAAAAGAAUUUAAGCGGGACCCCCCGAAACCAGACGAGCUACCCUAAGGCAAUAUAUAAAUUCAUCUCUGUGGCAAAAGAGUGAAAAGACCCAAAGGUAGAGGCAACAAACCUAACGAGCCUGGACAUAGCUGGUUACUUGAGAAUGAAUUUUAGUUCAAUUAAAAGCAACCCUACCACCAAGGAAAAACACCGCUUCUAUUAUAACCAAUUAAGGUACAACUUAAUUAAUGAAGGAAACAACCUAAACUAAUAAAUAAUGAUUAUAAUUUUCAAGGACCUCAACUCAGUAGGCCCAAAAGCCGCCACCAUAUUAAUAGCGUCAAAGCUUAACUAACACAACACCCAUUAUUACAAUAAAUAAUCUAAAUUUAAUAAAACAAUCAAGUUAAUCUAUAUAUAGAUAAAUUAUUACUAGAAUGAGUAACAAGGAAUACCUCAAGAUACAUGUGUAAAUCGGAACGAACCACUCACCGAUAACUAACGAAUAUAUUUAUUUAAACAAGACAUAAAUAUUUUAAAUCGUUUACCCAACACAGGAGUAUUUAAGAAAGACUUAAAAUCCAGAAAGGAACUCGGCAAACCCAGGCCC
rnacentral:rRNA from 1 species